GCAGGACGCUGGUUGCCAUAGUGACAUCGCCGCAGACAAACAUGUGUCCUUGCUCGAGGCACAGCACGCGGUGAACCUCGGCGGCCAGCUCUGUCCUCAGGAGGUCCUGCACGGCUACCAGGAUCCCUGGAAAAGGCGGUGAGGAUGUGUCCAAACACGCCGCGCUUCUGAGCAUCCAGUACCUCAUCCCGGUAGAGAUGGUCGAGUUGGGAGCAUCGGCAGCCAAACACCAAAGUCAUGGGGGCGGGUUGCAGCCCUGUGAGAAACAAGACGGUUUGGGGGGGGCCCUUUCUCUGGGGCAGCCUUGGCAACGCCACCUCCAGGCCAGCCUUUUGGGUUGGAGCAACCCCUAUCAUGGCUCUUCAGGGGCAAAUGGGGUGCUUUCACCCAGACCCCGCACACCUCUGAUUUCCAGAAGAAAACAGGCAUUCAGGCAAGAAUCAGGAGGGAAACUCCGCUAGAACCUGCUCUAUCGACUCAAUUCUGUGCCCAUGGCUCAGCCCAUACCUUCCGAAACUUCCAACCAUCCUCUCCCACUCAACCUUCUUUUAUUGACAUCUCUGUGCCUGACCUGAACACCUCAUCAGUUUUUAGACUGGGUCGCCCUAGAUGAGCUCUGAGGUAAUUCUGAAUCUGCCUGGAGCUGUCUUCUGUCUGCAUUCCUGUCCUAUCCCUUCCUUCUUUACCCUCAGUCCAUUCCAGAACCUAUGAUUCGCGGAGGGACCACCAGGAAGGCAAACAACCUGGCCCCAGCCCUUUUCUCCCCUCCCCACCCCAUUAAAUACGUUUCUUUUCA